UACGUAGGGGGCAAGCGUUGUCCGGAUUUAUUGGGCGUAAAGAGCGUGUAGGCGGCUAGGUAGGUCCGUUGUGAAAACUCGAGGCUCAACCUCGAGACGUCGAUGGAAACCAUCUAGCUAGAGUCCGGAAGAGGAGAGUGGAAUUCCUGGUGUAGCGGUGAAAUGCGUAGAUAUGUGGAGGAAUACCGAUGGCGAAGGCAGCCUCCUGGGCCAACACUGACGCUCAUGCACGAAAGCGUGGGGAGCAAACAGG
rnacentral:rRNA from 1 species